CCCUUUUUUAUUAUUCAUAUAAAUUCAUAUUAUGUAUAGAAGAAAAACAAAAAUGUGAAAAACUAAUAAAUAGGAUUAUUAAAAUUUGUUUUUAGGUCCCACUGCCAACAUUAGGUCAAUCAACUCCACAGACCUUAGAAAUUACCUUGACAACCACUACAAAUCUAGCAGAAUUGUUGUUGCUGGAGCAGGUGGAAUUGAACACCAAGAUUUAGUGAAACUCGCUGAGAGCCAUCUGGGUUCCUUAAACAAUACAUAUCCAGGAAAAGUUCCAGUAAUUGCUCCAUGUCGUUUCACUGGAUCAGAAAUUAGAGUCAGAGAUGAUUCCCUGCCUUUGGCACACAUUGCCCUUGCUGUUGAAGGUGCUGGUUGGUCCGACCCUGAUACCCUCACAUUGAUGGUUGCUUCUACUUUGUUGGGUGCUUGGGACAGGUCCCAAGCCUCCGCCAAACAGAAUGCUACCAACUUAGCUAGAGCUAGUGGGGAAGGUGACUUGUG
rnacentral:lncRNA from 1 species